CCCAGCUGUAGGCAACUGCCUGGGUUGCCUUGUUCCUAGGGAAGUGUUACACUGCUGGGAGAAAAGCAGCCAAUAGCUGGCAAGCAUUCCAAGCCUGGCUAAUACCAAACCUGUGUUAACUAU
ensembl:snoRNA SNORA74 Small nucleolar RNA SNORA74